UGAUGGGGAGGUCGGCGCUGCUUCAGCCGUGCGGGCCCGGAGGGGGCUUCGGGCGAGCAUCCCUCCCGGCCCCCGCGGCCUCCUGGAGCCCACAUUUAGCUUGUAAGGGUUGGAUGGGGCCGGAACCAUGAAGGCAACUGGAUUAGUCAAGUGUGGACUCUCGGGAGAGUGGCGCAGGCAGCCCAAGAUGGUUGCUAAUCUGGAAAUAGUAACAUUUCUCGCCCCCCAACCCCGAGAAUUAUAUCACCUCCUGAGUAAGCCUCGACAGUUGGGAACGGGCUUCCCCGCAUUUCCCUCAGCUUUGACGGCGCAUCUUCACCCUUUCUUUGGAACGACCUUUGUUUCCCGAUUUCAAACCCUGCCCAGCACUUCUCAGACCACGAAUCGUCCACAAACCAGAAGCUGCAGGCGGGCAGGGAUUUCUUCUUGUUCGUGAUAAUAUGCCAGCAUCUCAUGCAAUGCCUGGUUCACAGUAGACCUUCAAUAAGCAUAUAAUGAGAGAUUUCUGUGUCUACUCUCCUCAGACAUGCAAGUUAUUUUCUUAAGACAAAUGAGCCUGUGAACCCCAGUUGCUCUGUCUGAAAGGCUCUUCAUAUAAUAACCAAAGAUUCUAGAAUCAGUCUCAGGAAAAAGGCAGAAAAAUCUAGCCCAAGAGAUUAAAAGAACUAGAUUCCAACAAAGUGACAGUGAUCAGCUUCAGCACAAGAAAGCCAGAAACUGUAGAUAGGAUAAUGUCAGAAGACAACUCUAUAAGGUAAGCUGUGGGUAGUAGUUGCAUUAAGAAAGAAGGGAUGACUUGGGGUGCCUGGCUGGCUUGGUCCGUGGAGCGUGUGGCUCCUGGUCUCAGGAUUGUGAGUUCAAGCCCUGCCUAGAGAAGAAAGGAAAGGAAAGAAAAGAGGAGAAAAGAAAAGAAAAGGAAGAGGGUGGAGAAAGAAAAGGAACAAGAAGGGAGGAAGGGAGGGAAAAGAAGGAAGAAGGGAAGGAGGGAAGGAAGGAAGGAAGGAACAAACAGGGAGGGAGGAAGGAAGGGAGAAAGGAAGAGAGAGAGAGAGAGAAGGAAAAGAAGGAAGGAAGGAAGGAAGGGCAGACUGACUUAAAAUGACUUAAUCUUGGUGCCCAGAAUGAGGAUGAAAAGAAGCCUAGACCUUUGAGAAAAUAUUGGGGGUUCAUCAGCCCUGGCAAUGCAGUAGAUUUCCAAGUUGGCUUUGACUUCAAUAAGCUGCUGGUCAUUUGGGGGCACCUGGAUGGCUCAGCCUUCAGCUCCGGUCAUGAUCUCAGGUCCUUGGGAUCGAACCCCGCGUGGGGCUCCCCACUCAGCGGGGCAUCUGCUUGUCCCUCUCCCUCUGCCCUUCACCCCCACUCGUGCUCUUGCUCUUAAAAAAAAAAAAAGAA